rnacentral:lncRNA from 1 species
GCCAUCUGGACACAGCAAGGAUGUGGUCUCUCCACGGUGCCCAUGAGCAUAAUGAAAAGGAGGGCUCACAAAGAAAGAAAUGGCGUUUAACAGCAGCAGGAAGGCUCUCUAUCUUCAUAUCCAACCUAAUGGAGUUUCCCACAGUUGCAGAGAUCUCCAAGAACGUGUGUUCUGGUCUCCUCAUGUGACAGAGGGGUCCGGAGAAGGGACCUGGGAGGUGACAGAACCCAGGCCUGGGCACCUGAUCCCAGAGGCCAGCCAGCAGCAUCCCACGGGGCCAUGUACUGUAGACCUACGAGGAGGCGCCAGCCCCUUCCCCCUCACUCCCCUGAUCCAGACUGAAUUCUUGUUUAAUUAGAAUUGAUCAGAAAGAUCUGUGUGAAUACAGAACCGGCAUCAUGGUCAAGGGGAACACACAGAAACCUUGACCUGUACUCAGCACACAGCUGAUGCUGUGCUACAG